rnacentral:rRNA from 1 species
UACAGAGGUCUCAAGCGUUGUUCGGAUUCAUUGGGCGUAAAGGGUGCGUAGGCGGCGCGGUAAGUCGGGUGUGAAAUCUCGGAGCUUAACUCCGAAACUGCAUUCGAUACUGCCGUGCUUGAGGACUGGAGAGGAGACUGGAAUUUACGGUGUAGCGGUGAAAUGCGUAGAUAUCGUAAGGAAGACCAGUGGCGAAGGCGGGUCUCUGGACAGUUCCUGACGCUGAUGAGCGAAAGCUAGGGGAGCAAACCGG